AAGGCCUUAGCUUAAUGAAAGUAUCUGCUUUGCAUGCAGGUGAUGUGGGGUAAUGUCCUGCAGGUCUUA
rnacentral:tRNA from 1 species